CUAAGAAUCUUGCGCAAUGGGCGAAAGCCUGACGCAGCAACGCCGCGUGGGGGAGGAAGGCCUUCGGGUCGUAAACCCCUUUUGCGAGGGAAGAAGUUCUGACGGUACCUCGCGAAUAAGUCACGGCUAACUACGUGCCAGCAGCCGCGGUAAUACGUAGGUGACAAACGUUGUCCGGAUUUAUUGGGCGUAAAGAGCCCGCAGGCGGCUUGACAAGUUUCAGGUGAAAUCUCCCGGCUCAACUGGGAGGGGUCUUGGAAAACUGUCAGGCUUGAGGCAGGAAGGGGGAUGCGGAAUUCCGUGUGUAGCGGUGAAAUGCGUAGAUAUACGGAGGAACACCAGCGGCGAAGGCGGCAUCCUGGUCCUGACCUGACGCUCAGGGGCGAAAGCGUGGGGAGCAAACCGGAUUAGAUACCCGGGUAGUCCACGCUGUAAACGAUGAGUACUAGGGGUUGGGGGUAUCGACCCCCUCAGUUCCGAAACUAACGCGAUAAGUACUCCGCCUGGGGACUACGGCCGCAAGGCUA
rnacentral:rRNA from 1 species